AUUGAACGCUGGCGGCAUGCUUUACACAUGCAAGUCGAACGGUAACAGGCCGCAAGGUGCUGACGAGUGGCGAACGGGUGAGUAAUGCAUCGGAACGUGCCCAGUCGUGGGGGAUAACGCAGCGAAAGCUGUGCUAAUACCGCAUACGAUCUAUGGAUGAAAGCGGGGGACCGUAAGGCCUCGCGCGAUGGGAGCGGCCGAUGUCAGAUUAGGUAGUUGGUGGGGUAAAGGCCUACCAAGCCGACGAUCUGUAGCUGGUCUGAGAGGACGACCAGCCACACUGGGACUGAGACACGGCCCAGACUCCUAGGGGAGGCAGCAGUGGGGAAUUUUGGACAAUGGGCGCAAGCCUGAUCCAGCAAUGCCGCGUGCAGGAAGAAGGCCUUCGGGUUGUAAACUGCUUUUGUACGGAACGAAACGGUCUGGGUUAAUACCCUGGGCUAAUGACGGUACCGUAAGAAUAGGCACCGGCUAACUACGUGCCAGCCGCCGCCGUAAUAC
rnacentral:rRNA from 1 species